rnacentral:misc_RNA from 1 species
GAUGAAGAACGCAGCGAAAUGCGAUAAGUAGUGUGAAUUGCAGAAUUCAGUGAAUCAUCGAAUCUUUGAACGCACAUUGCGCCCUUUGGUAUUCCAAAGGGCAUGCCUGUUCGAGCGUCAUUUGUACCCUCAAGCUCUGCUUGGUGUUGGGCGUCUUGUCUCCAGUUUCGCUGGAGACUCGCCUUAAAGUCAUUGGCAGCCGGCCUACUGGUUUCGGAGCGCAGCACAAGUCGCGCUCUCGUCCAGCCAAGGUCAGCAAUCCACAAAGCCUUUUUUCAACUUUUGACCUCGGAUCAGGUAGGGAUACCCGCUGAACUUAAGCAUAUCAAUAAGCGGAGGA